GGGGACGUAGCUCAAUUGGGAGAGCACUGCCUUUGCAAGGCAGGGGUUGCCGGUUCGAUCCCGGUCGUCUCCA
rnacentral:tRNA from 2 species